rnacentral:rRNA from 1 species
UACAGGGGGGGCAAGCGUUGUUCGGAAUUACUGGGCGUAAAGGGCUCGUAGGCGGCCAACUAAGUCCACGCGAAAUCCCCAGCUUAACCCUGGGAACUGCGUCGGAUAUGGAUGGCUUAAUUCGGGAGAGGGAUGCAGAUUCCAGGUGUAGCGGUGAAAAUGCGUAGGAUAUCUGGGAGGAAUACCGGGUGGCGAAGGCGCAUCCUG